rnacentral:tRNA from 1 species
GCCGCCUUAGCUCAGUUGGUAGAGCAACGGUAUCGUAAACCGUAGGUCCGCAGUUCGAAUCUGCGAGGCGGCU